rnacentral:tRNA from 1 species
GAGGGUAUAGCUCGAGUGGUAGAGCACAUGCUUAGCAUGCACAAGGUCCUGGGUUCAAUCCAGUACCUUCU